CUGCUGCUUCUUCUCCUGGUCAGAAGCUUCUUCUGUUCAGGUGUGCCAUGGCUACUUCUCCUGGGAACUGACCAUGUGUGACUCUGCUAGCUGAGCAUCUGCUGACCUCAACCAAAUCAAUGCAACCAGUGAUACCUCGGCCUGUUUCACUUCAAACUGUGUCCAGAGACAACAGGCAUGGGAUGUCAAGCUUCCAGCUUCAAUAUUCUGGAUCAGUGGAUGAUUUUAUGUCUUACAUGUGUGAAGUUUAAUCCCCAGCCCAGCAUGAGAGAACAACACAGACAAAACAAGUGGAACUUUGUAGAUUUUUGUUAAACAAUGCUCAUAAACAAUAAAAUAAAAAUAGAGCAGAUGA